GCACCCUUACAUUAUUAAAAAAAAAAAUACAACGUGUGAGAUAAAUAAUACGUUCACAAGGCUAUCUUAAGUGGUCUGCAGGAGUUCUGAUGCCCCUGUACUUACUAACAGAAAGUAACUCAUUGUAGAUUACUCGCGCUUAAAAAUGUUAAAUACAGUUAAUGCAAUAUUAAUCGCCCUUUGGUGAUAUAAAAUGCAAUAUUUUCAGGCAGCUAUUGAGCUUUUCCAGAGGAAGGGCGAUGAGAAGAGUCGCAGCUGAAUAGUGGGAGAAAAAGCCUGGUAUUUAUUGCUUUUGUUUGGCUUUUGGCUACAGAGACAGGAACCUUCUAAUGGGGAGACAAAUUUGGUUGGUAGGCCAAAGAGCUCACAAGGACCAACACCCCUCCCCCCUUCGAGGGUCAGGAAUCAGCUUGAAGCACAAGGAUCUUCAUUUACUAGAUAGAAUCAGACAAUCAAAAGAACGGCCUACUGCUCUGUCUUCAUGCUAACAAUGGAGGGAGUAUCAGCAACAGAACGGUUGUAAAUUAUUUUUCCCUUGGUUUCAUAGUGGUUGCAUGGUACCUUAGGCUUGGGUGACCCCGCUUGUCUUAUUGAACACAUUUCAGUAGGCAUGGGCUUGCCUGUGUUUGACCUCCUCUCCCCUAUCAUCUUCUACCAGGGCAGAGAAAGCUGAACCUUACAUGGCCAUACAAAAGCUACCCCCAGCUUCAUACAGCCGUACUGCUAAGCCUUCUGCAAAGACAAAGGAAAGAUAAAUCUGGGAAAGGAGAACUAUAGAGGGACAUUCUAAUAAUGGAUGUCAGGGAACUGAUCCACCCUAGCCCUUAGUUUUCUGAAGACAAAAUCUUCCUGUAGGGAGAAGGUGAUACGUGUCAUUUGCAGCUCAAGUGCCCUGAUGGCUUCCCAUUCCUCAUGGUUUUAAGCAGCAGCCGGGAGUUUUCAUUCCUGAUCUGUAGCAGCAAGCAGAGAACAUGACACUGGUUCUGGAAUGGACUUCUGAAACCUCAAUGCCUCUUCCACUGCCGCAAGUCCUACAAUAUGGCCACACCUCCCAAUACUUCCGAAACAGUUUCACUAAUUGGAAACCAAGCAUUCAAACCUGUGGCCUUAUGUGGGCCAUUCUCUUUCGAAUCACCACAGACAGAUCCUCUGACAGAUGUCUAAAUAUUUAUAGUCCUCAGUUUCCAGCUGCUUGUGAAAGGAUAAUAUUGUGUGAACAAAGGUUCAGUGAAGGUCUCUGCAGAGCAACCCAGGGAAGACCCUAUGACAAGGAAAAUGUAGCAACAGCGCGGAUGUAGAGACGAAUCCCCACGGUUGGCAGAAGCAUGAUCAUGUCUUCAUCUGAAUAUAAUGAAGAAAUAAUGGAUCCGAAAUCUGCUAUCAAAGGAGUUGUGAAGAGCGGCACUUGUCAGCAUAAUACCGAUAGGAAGAACAUGGAGUUAAAUGAGAAGGAGAUACAGAGACCUACAACGGACAUGAUGCAUAGUGAGAUACCUUGGAACACUCAGCCCUAAGAGGGAUGACUCCAUUCAUCCUUCUCCUCACGGCUCAGGGAACCUGUGGAAGAGGGGCAGAAAGAGCCAGAGACGACAGAGGACACUGAGAAAGCAAGACCCUAUAAAUCAACAUGAGUAAAGCUCACAUAACUUACAAAGACUGGAGCAGUGCGCACAGGGCUUGUGGUAGUCUGCACCAGGUCCGUGGCACAUAAUGAUGCUUGUUUGUUUGUCUUGCCCAACUCUGUUAGUUUCUUUUUUUAUUUAACUAGUACGAUUAUAGUACAUCAUUAUACUUAUUACCCCUUAGAAGCCUGUUUGUUUUCUAGUGAGAGACCGAAAGGUAGAGGAUGAAGAUGAGAGGAGAGGUGGAGAGAGACUUGGAGGAGUAGAGGGGAGGGAAGCCAUAAUCAGCAUAUUCUAGAUGAGAAAAUAAAUCCAUUUUCAAUGAAAGAAAAAAAUAUGGAAAUUCCCUCCUGUGAUGGUUUGCCUAUGCUUGGCCCAGGGAGUGGCACUGU
rnacentral:sRNA from 1 species